CAGCAGCCGCGGUAAUACGAAGGUCCCAGGCGUUGUUCGGAAUCACUGGGCGUAAAGGGAGCGUAGGCUGCGUGGUAAGUCAGAUGUGAAAUCCCGGGGCUCAACCCCGGAACUGCAUCCGAUACUGCCAUGCUUGAGGGUUGGAGAGGUAGCUGGAAUUAUCGGUGUAGCAGUGAAAUGCGUGGAUAUCGAUAGGAACACUCGUGGCGAAGGCGAGCUACUGGACAACAUCUGACGCUGAGGCUCGAAGGCCAGGGGAGCAAAAGGGAUUAGAUACCCCUGUAGUCCUGGCAGUAAACGGUGCACGCUUGGUGUGAGGGGAUUCGACCCCCCUUGUGCCGGAGCUAACGCGUUAAGCGUGCCGCCUGGGAAGUACGGUCGCAAGACUAAAACUCAAAG
rnacentral:rRNA from 1 species